UACGGGGGGGGCAAGCGUUGUUCGGAAUUACUGGGCGUAAAGGGCUCGUAGGUGGCCAACUAAGUCAGACGUGAAAUCCCUCGGCUUAACCGGGGAACUGCGUCUGAUACUGGAUGGCUUGAGUUUGGGAGAGGGACGCGGAAUUCCAGGUGUAGCGGUGAAAUGCGUAGAUAUCUGGAGGAACACCGGUGGCGAAGGCGGCGUCCUGGACCAACACUGACACUGGGGAGCGAAAGCCAGGGGAGCAAACGGG
rnacentral:rRNA from 1 species